rnacentral:rRNA from 1 species
AGCCUCCCACUAGCCCAACCACCACACAAUUAGACAUCAAAAAAUAACUACCCACCUCAAACUAAAACAUUCGCACAGCUUAGUAUAGGUGAUAGAAAAGCUACUUGGCGCUAUAGCGAGAUUGUACCGCAAGGGAAAGAUGAAAUAGAAGUGAAAACCCCAAGCUACAGACAGCAAAGAUUAAUCCUUGUACCUUUUGCAUCAUGAUUUAGCAAGAACAACCAAGCAAAGCGAAUUCAAGCUUGCCCUCCCGAAACCCAAGCGAGCUACUUACAAGCAGCUAUUUUGAGCGAACCCGUCUCUGUUGCAAAAGAGUGGGAAGACUUGUCAGUAGGGGUGAAAAGCCAACCGAGCUGGGUGAUAGCUGGUUGCCCGUGAAACGAAUUUAAGUUCGCCCCUGGCCCGCCCUUGAAAGGAGACCCCCCCCCCCCCCCGUGUGGCAACCAGGAAUAAUUUAAAGGAGGUACAGCUCCUUUAAAAAAGAAUACAACCUCACCUAGAGGAUAAGCCCCCACCUGCCCAGCCCGUGGGCCUUUAAGCAGCCACCGACAAAGAGUGCGUCAAAGCUCUUCUAGCAAAAAUACCCCAACAACACGACUCCCUCACCCUUAACGGGCUAACCUAUACCAAUAGAAGAAUUAAUGCUAAAAUGAGUAACUUGGGAUCACCUACACCCUCUAACCAGCGUAAACUUACAUCCGUACAUUAUUAACAGAUCAAAAUACCUAAACUCCAACAAGAAUAUGUAUUCUCAAAUCUGUUACCCCCACUCAGGAACGCGAACUAGAAAGAUUAAAAUCUGCAAAAGGAACUAGGCAAACCCGAGGCCCGACUGUUUACCAAAAACACAGCCUUCAGCCGUACAAGUAUUGAAGGUGACGCCUGCCCGGUGACAUACGUUUAACGGCCGCGGUAUCCUAACCGUGCGAAGGUAGCGCAAUCAAUUGUCUCAUAAAUCGAGACCUGUAUGAAUGGCUAAACGAGAUCUCGACUGUCUCUUGCAGAUAAUCAGUGAAAUUGAUCUCCUCGUGCAAAAGCGAGAAUAAUCACAUAAGACGAGAAGACCCUGUGGAACUUAAAAAUCAACAGUCACCCCUCUUACACAAAACCUAGAAGGCUCAUCACUCAGAGGGUAUUGACUGACAUUUUUUGGUUGGGGCGACCUUGGAGAACAGCAAAACCUCCAAACACAAGACCACAAAUCUUUACCAAGUGCCACCCCUCAAAGUGCUAAUAGCAACCAGACCCAGUAUUCACCUGACCAAUGAACCAAGCUACCCCAGGGAUAACAGCGCAAUCUCCUUCGAGAGCCCCUAUCGACAAGGAGGAUUACGACCUCGAUGUUGGAUCAGGACAUCCUAAUGGUGCAGCCGCUAUUAAGGGUUCGUUUGUUCAACGAUUAAUAGUCCUACGUGAUCUGAGUUCAGACCGGAGCAAUCCAGGUCGGUUUCUAUCUAUGACUAACUUUUCCUAGUACGAAAGGAUUGGAAAAGUGGGGCCAAUACUACAAGCACGCCCCCUCUUUAAGUAAUGAACACAACUAAAUUACAAAAGGAGUGCCCUCACCCAUCCUAGAAAAGGAUU